rnacentral:rRNA from 1 species
GACGGACGCUGGCGGCGUGCUUAACACAUGCAGGUCGAACGGAAAGGCCCUGCUUUUGUGGGGUGCUCGAGUGGCGAACGGGUGAGUAACACGUGAGUAACCUGCCCUUGACUUUGGGAUAACUUCAGGAAACUGGGGCUAAUACCGGAUAGGAGCUCCUGCUGCAUGGUGGGGGUUGGAAAGUUUCGGCGGUUGGGGAUGGACUCGCGGCUUAUCAGCUUGUUGGUGGGGUAGUGGCUUACCAAGGCUUUGACGGGUAGCCGGCCUGAGAGGGUGACCGGCCACAUUGGGACUGAGAUACGGCCCAGACUCCUACGGGAGGCAGCAGUGGGGAAUAUUGCACAAUGGGCGGAAGCCUGAUGCAGCAACGCCGCGUGCGGGAUGACGGCCUUCGGGUUGUAAACCGCUUUCGCCUGUGACGAAGCGUGAGUGACGGUAAUGUGUAAAGAAGCACCGGCUAACUACGUG